GACGAACGCUGGCGGCGUGCUUAACACAUGCAAGUCGAACGGAAAGGCCCUUCCUUUGCGGCGUGCUCGAGUGGCGAGCGGGUGAGUAACACGUGAGUAACCUGCCCUUGACUUUGGGGUAUGCCUAGGAAACUGGGGCGCAUACCGGGUAUGAGCUAUUGCUGCAUGGUGUUGGUUAGAGAUUUUCGGCUGUUGGGGGUGGACUCGCGGGUUAUCCGCUUGUUGGGGGGGUGGGGGCAUACCAGGCCUUAGGCGGGUGGCCGGCCUGGGAGGGUGACCGGCCACAUUGGGACUGAGAUACGGCCCAGACUCCUACGGGAGGCAGCAGUGGGGAAUAUUGCACAAUGGGCGCAAGCCUGAUGCAGCGACGCCGCGUGCGGGAUGACGGCCUUCGGGUUGUAAACCACUUUCGCCGGAGACGAAGCGUAAGUGACGGUAACUGGUGAAGAAGCACCGGCUAACUACGUG
rnacentral:rRNA from 1 species